rnacentral:rRNA from 1 species
AUUGAACGCUGGCGGCAUGCCUUACACAUGCAAGUCGAACGGCAGCACGGAGCUUGCUCUGGUGGCGAGUGGCGAACGGGUGAGUAAUAUAUCGGAACGUACCCAAGAGUGGGGGAUAACGUAGCGAAAGUUACGCUAAUACCGCAUACGAUCUAAGGAUGAAAGCAGGGGACCGCAAGGCCUUGUGCUCCUGGAGCGGCCGAUAUCUGAUUAGCUAGUUGGUGAGGUAAAGGCUCACCAAGGCAUCGAUCAGUAGCUGGUCUGAGAGGACGACCAGCCAAACUGGAACUGAGACACGGUCCAGACUCCUACGGGAGGCAGCAGUGGGGAAUUUUGGACAAUGGGGGCAACCCUGAUCCAGCAAUGCCGCGUGAGUGAAGAAGGCCUUCGGGUUGUAAAGCUCUUUUGUCAGGGAAGAAACGGUCGUGGCUAAUAUCCAUGGCUAAUGACGGUACCUGAAGAAUAAGCACCGGCUAACUACGUGCCAGCCGCCGCAGUAAAAC